rnacentral:rRNA from 1 species
AACGAACGCUGGCGGCAUGCCUAACACAUGCAAGUCGAACGAGACCUUCGGGUCUAGUGGCGCACGGGUGCGUAACGCGUGGGAACCUGCCCUUAGGUUCGGAAUAACUCCCCGAAAGGGGUGCUAAUACCGGAUAAUGUCCUCGGACCAAAGAUUUAUCGCCUUUGGAUGGGCCCGCGUUGGAUUAGCUAGUUGGUAGGGUAAAAGCCUACCAAGGCGACGAUCCAUAGCUGGGCUGAGAGGAUGAUCAGCCACACUGGGACUGAGACACGGCCCAGACUCCUACGGGAGGCAGCAGUGGGGAAUAUUGGACAAUGGGCGAAAGCCUGAUCCAGCAAUGCCGCGUGAGUGAUGAAGGCCUUAGGGUUGUAAAACUCUUUUACCCGGGAUGAUAAUGACAGUACCGGGAGAAUAAGCUCCGGCUAACUCCGUG